rnacentral:rRNA from 1 species
AAGAUUAAGCCAUGCAUGUCUAAGUCCAAGCUGUGUUCACACGGCGAGACCGCGGACGGCUCAUUAAAUCAGUCGUGGUCCAAAUGGGCCAGUGCAAAUCCUACUUGGAUAACUGUGGUAAUUCCAGAGCUAAUACAUGCAACUGAUAUCCCGAAGGCGGUGUUGGGGCUUGCUUGCCUUGCGCUGCGCUGCUCUGACGGAUGCUUUUAUUAGACCAAGCCGCUGAGGACUUGAGGGUUCGCGCUCUCUUGUUUGACUCGUGUGAUGGUGACUCUGGAUAACCAAAUUCUGACAAGCGCACGUACUUCUCUUCUGAGCGAGACGGCGCUGCCACUUUCGAGUGUCUGCCUUAUCAGCUAUCAACCGUUCGUUAUGCGCGACCGAUGGCUUUGACGGGUAACGGGGAAUCAGGGUUCGAUUCCGGAGAGGCAGCCUGAGAGACGGCUACCACGUCCAAGGACGGCAGCAGGCACGCAAAUUACCCAAUCCCAGCAAAUGGGGGAGGUAGUGACGAAAUCUAACGAUGCGGGCGCCCUUUCUGGGGCCCCGCAAUCGGAAUGGGCACUUUCUAAACAACC